rnacentral:rRNA from 1 species
AGGCCUAACACAUGCAAGUCGAGGGGCAGCGGGAAAAAGCUUGCUUUUUUGCCGGCGACCGGCGCACGGGUGCGGAACGCGUAUGGAACCUGCCCCUGUCAGGGGAAUAGCCCAGGGAAACUUGGAUCAAUGCCCCAUGGUACCGUUACAUCGCAUGAUGUUUCGGUUAAAGAUUUAUCGGACAGGGAUGGCCAUGCGUACCAUUAGUUAGUUGGCGGGGUAACGGCCCACCAAGGCAGCGAUGGUUAGGGGCCCUGAGAGGGGGAUCCCCCACACUGGUACUGAGACACGGACCAGACUCCUACGGGAGGCAGCAGUGAGGAAUAUUGGACAAUGGGCGGGAGCCUGAUCCAGCCAUGCCGCGUGCAGGAUGACUGCCCUAUGGGUUGUAAACUGCUUUUAUACGGGAAGAAACGCACCUACGUGUAGGUGUCUGACGGUACCGUAAGAAUAAGGACCGGCUACUCCGUGCCAGCAGCCGCGGUAAUACGGAGGGUCCGAGCGUUAUCCGGAAUCAUUGGGUUUAAAGGGUCCGUAGGCGGGCCUGUAAGUCAGGGGUGAAAGUUUGUGGCUCAACCAUAAAUUGCCUUUGAUACUGCAGGUCUUGAGUCAUGGUGGGGGUUGCCGGAACAUGUGGUGUAGCGGUGAAAUGCAUAGAU